GGGUAACCUGCCCAGAAGUAGGGGAUAACACCUGGAAACAGAUGCUAAUACCGUAUAACAGAGAAAACCGCAUGGUUUUCUUUUAAAAGAUGGCUCUGCUAUCACUUCUGGAUGGACCCGCGGCGUAUUAGCUAGUUGGUGAGGUAAAGGCUCACCAAGGCAGUGAUACGUAGCCGACCUGAGAGGGUAAUCGGCCACAUUGGGACUGAGACACGGCCCAGACUCCUACGGGAGGCAGCAGUAGGGAAUCUUCCACAAUGGACGCAAGUCUGAUGGAGCAACGCCGCGUGAGUGAAGAAGGGUUUCGGCUCGUAAAGCUCUGUUGUUAAAGAAGAACGUGGGUAAGAGUAACUGUUUACC
rnacentral:rRNA from 1 species